AUGCUCUGCUAUUGCGUAACUUUCCGGGGUUGGUCGUCACAAGCCGUGUUCAAGCCAAGGCCACUGCCAUUUAUUAUUGGGACACAAAUGAUGUUUGAAUUCAAAGAUCAAGGGUGCAUGUCCUCUCCUUUUUUAAACCCAAUGUUCAGCUUGUUAGAAUCUCUUUUGUGCUUGCAAAUCCAAUGCUGUGAUUUACCACAUAUCUGUUCAGUCAGAAUCAGAUAUUCCUCUUCCCUGGCAAUACCCCGUGAUCACGCAGAGGGCAACAUGCCCAAUCCAGUGCACCGUUUACCUCAGCCACCCCCAAGACAUCAGCAGCCUGCAUGUUUGAAUUCAUCCAGCCGGCCCCCUCUACCUGCAGAUCCCCACUCCAUCCCAUCAUUUCCAGGGUGUCACGGUGUGGACAUCCCCUCUCCAUGAGAUUGAAGGCAUUAUAUUAUCAUGAAUCGUAUGGAGCUGCUUUUGUUUUUAGUUUUUGGCUUUGCUUACAGUUGGUUUAACAACUGAUUGUUCCUCUGUUGGCUGUUUUUCCCAUGAAGAAUUGUUUUAGGAAAUUUCAUAAACUUUAUUUAACGUAAUGAACGUAAUUAAAUCGUUUUGGGGAUUGAGUGAUAUAAUGUACCUCCAAGAUAUCAUUUGGCUUUUUCUUUUAAGUAUUAUACUUAUUUAUUUACAUUUCCAACCCAUGUUAAGAUUUUGAAUCUUGUAAUGUACACUAAUGUAGAUUGAAUCUUGUAAUGUACACUUGAAGUAUUUGUGUACAUGUUUUGGUCAAUUUGUUAUAUUUUUUAUACUCUUUUCCCAUGAACAGUGAAGUAUUGCAGUUUGGCUGAACAAAGUACCACUGAUGCAUGAUCAAUGUGUCUUCUUCAAACAAUAAAAUUCUGUUCAUAUUCUGAAAUGCAUGAGCUUACUUUAUUUUGGUUUUACUACGGUUUCAAUCAUUAGAAUUGCAAGAAUUACUGAUAAUAUUGCUUCAUAGAUUCAAACCAUUGUAUUAUAUCGGACUAGGAAAACUAGGUCAGUAUUAUUGUAAACUGUCUAGGGAUAGCAUAUAUAGCUGUGUCACAUAUUUCAGUUGCUGUAUAUCCUACUAUAAAGAUUGUGCCACUGUGGAUGUUGGGGUUGUGAUAGAAAAUAAUGAAGGUUAAAAAGGAUAUUUGCCAAAUGUAAGAAAAAAUAGUGGAGAGGAAUGUGCCAGCAGGGGGAAGAGGGGGGGGGGGGGACCCCUAGAACAGGGGGACCCUGUUCUACUGCUAUUCACCACCGGGGGUCCGGAGUGGACCGGCAAACGGAGACGACUCAGAUAAGACAUCCCUUUGUGGUCAAUGAUCCGUCCAUUUCUCAGUUCACUUAGAGAAUAAGUAUAAGUAAGGUUGACUUUACGUAUGAAUUAUACAAGAAUAUAAGGUCAAUAUAUUUACAAUGGAGCCAAAUGUUAAACACUUGAUAGUAGCUUU
rnacentral:lncRNA from 1 species